CUGGCCUGGGAAUGGCUCAGAAUCUAACAGGAGCAGCCAGAAAGUGUUGCUGGGGAGAUGGAUCUUGGAAUGACCUGCUUCACCUCUGGACAAGAGGACUAAAAGGAUGGACAGACUGACCAGAUAUACAGAACAACAAGCCUCUGUGAUGAACAAGCUUUUUUGUGCUUUUGAUGUGAAACCAAUGAACUGCUGGAAUCCUAAACUUCACCACACAUCCCACUGAUACUUCUGUUCUGUACUAAACUAAAUAUUUAAAGUCCUCCAGUGGAAGAACAUUCAUCUCUUUACAGUUUAAACAAAACAUUCCAGAGCUGUCAGAACCUGUUUAGACCUGAAGCUGAGAGAUUACACUAUGAAGGUAGAAAAACAUGUCAGAGCCCUUCCCCCUGCUUGGUCAAUGCUGACACAUGGACCUGUUCAGCCAAUCACUGCACAGAAUUUUAUCUGGUUCUAAAGUUCACCUUCAGACACACAAGAAACUAUUUCUCUGAACAGCUGUACCUCACAGCUUCACCUGAAUCAUCAGUAAAUGACUUUACAUUAGUGUUUACGGAUUAAAGUGUGGUUGUUGUUGGAUAUUUGUACCAAAGUGUUGAUCAGAGGAAGAAGAAGAAGAAGUCAUUCCUGAACUGCACCUGGGCACUACAUCAAUCACCGGACUCAACUCUUCCUCUCUGCCACCGUCUUGCCCCAGUCUGCAGACAAGCGCCCCCUGUUAUGGAUCUGGCAGCACUGAGCCUCUGUUAAACACCUCAGGAGACAACGAUGCUGAGGGUGAUGCUGCCAAAGCAACAGCUCCACCUGCUGGUCAACCAACGCCACAAGGAAUGGCUUCAUGACGUUGCAGGUCCAGCUGUAGGAAUGAAUCAGGACACGGACGUUGACCCCUUGGAUGUUCCUGGUGACCAGAGGGAAAAGUUCCAUCCUCCAGCUUGUGGCACAGACGGGAACACUCAAAAACGUAAGCAUCAUGGCACUUCCCAGGCCAGCCAACAUCACAAUCAAGGAACCUGUAAGUGUGGUCUACAGGUCCUUGAAGGAGAACACUGUACCAUCCUGUCCUGUUGCAGUAGUCGGUGGGAUAGCUCUGUGGGCCAACAACAGGGAUGAGUGCUGACCAAAGCAGCAGCACACAUGGGGAAUCCUGUCUUCUUCUCAAAGCUGACAUGAUAGCCUGUAGUUCAGGGACAGGUUUUGGCCUCUUAACGUAGAUCUUUCUGAGUUUGAUCAGGGCCUCACACACUUCCCAGAAGAUGCUGCAGGCUGUGCUCCAAUACCAAACAGGUUGGUGACAUCAUGAAACUCCACAUUACUGGAGAGCUUGUAGAUGGUAACUGCAGCCCUCUUCUCUAACGGCACCGGUUCCAUCAUGUCAGUGGUUUGACAGCUGGUCACACAGUAUGCUGAAGGCCUCUUCUAGUCUUUCUCCAGACAUUUCUGGAGAACUUCUGCUUCCCAGAAGGAAUGGCCUCACUGCUGUGGUGUUCUUUCACUGUACCAUGCAUCUGCUAUUAAUAAAGGAAGGGCAGUCAGUGUAAACAUGUUCUCAGUGUGUAGUGUUGAUAUUUUACUGAAGUGAAUAAAUAAAUCAUUCCUCUUAAUAAAUGUAAGUGCUGAUAAACAGUUGGCAUAAGAACAGUAUCAUGUCCUGUUAAUAAAUGUAUGACAUUUAAACCGAGCACACACUGUCACAGACCACAGCUAAGCUCUGGAAACCAGCCAGCUGUCAGUGUUGCUCACAUUUGCAGGAAGGUAAGAUAGCUAAUUAAUGGCUGAUAACGGACCAUCAGGGUGUUUGGAUUCAGCCUGUUCAA